AAAGGCAAAGCAGCAAAAAGAAGGAAGUAAAUCCAGAGAGCCUUUUGAUGUUAAAGUUUGUUAACGUUGUUUGGAGAUAAGGAGAAUUGCUUCUUUUCAUAAAUUAGAACAAGCACUUACUAGGCAUGUCGUUGAACACCAGCCAAAUCAAGUUGGAGCGAAGGCAGUAAGGAGAGAGAAGAAAACAUCGUCCUGAAGGAAACUGCACUCAAGGUCUCAGUCCUGAUAGAGAUAGAGUUGGCGCAGAAGUAUCACAGAUAAAAAAAUAGCAAAUAACAAAUGCUAAAUUAGGCUCCUUAGCAAAUGUGAAUAUGGAGCUCGAAGAAGUGCAUCCCUCUAGGGCACCAUCUUGGGCUCCUCCUAGAUAAAGGAUAGGAGGAAGAACUGGACCUCUAAUUGGAGACAGUUGGAGGUCACCUAUGUUUGCAAGCUGCUUGGUUCAGAUGAUGGGAAGAACUCCAAUGGAUUCCAGGUUUCUUUUUAAUGUGCUGUCAUGGCUGUGAGUGAAGCCUGAUCGACUCUGGCCUGUUGCUGCAAUCUCUGCUGCCACAUCCAAUCUGCCUGCCUAUUACUCAAGUGUCACGGCAAUCACAUGAGAUAUCCCGUCUGGGGCGCAGGUCUGAAUCAUUGUAUCUGGGAUUGACAGAAACCCAGGUUUAGCCAGGACUGUACAGGAAUCAAUGUGAUGUCCACAGAACAAUCAACCAUGAUAAGGAUGCAAAAACAA